rnacentral:misc_RNA from 1 species
CGCACAUUGCGCCCAUUAGUAUUCUUUUGGGCAUGCCUGUUCGAGCGUCAUUUCAACCCUUAAGCCUAGCUUAGUGUUGGGAAUCUACUGUCCGGGAGAAGUUACCCUGUGGCUACCCUGUAGCUACCCUGUAACGGUUACCCUGUAGUUCCUGAAAAUCAACGGCGGAUCUAUGGUUUCCUCUGAGCGUAGUAAUUUUUUUCUCGCUUCUGUUAGGCGCUGUAGCUCUUGCCGUUAAACCCCAAAUUUUUAAUGGUUGACCUCGGAUCAGGUAGGAAUACCCGCUGAACUUAA